rnacentral:rRNA from 1 species
CAGAGAGGGCAAGCGUUAUUCGGAAUUAUUGGGCGUAAAGGGCGCGUAGGCGGCCUUUCAAGUGACGGGUGAAAUCCCUCGGCUUAACCGAGGAACUGCCUGUCAGACUGGAAGGCUUGAGACCAGGAGAGAUGAGUGGAAUUCCCAGUGUAGCGGUGAAAUGCGUAGAUAUUGGGAGGAACACCAGUGGCGAAGGCGGCUCACUGGACCAGAACUGACGCUGAUGCGCGAAAGCGUAAGGAGCAAACAGGAUUAGAUACCCUGGUAGUCCACACCGUAAACGAUGAGUGCUUGGUGUAGCGGGUAUCGACCCCUGCUGUGCCGAAGUCAACACAUUAAGCACUCCGCCUGGGGAGUACGGUCGCAAGACUG